rnacentral:tRNA from 1 species
GCCCGGGUGGCGGAAUUGGCAGACGCGCAGGACUCAGGAUCCUGUGGACGCAAGUCCGUGCGGGUUCAAAUCCCGCCCCGGGCACCA